rnacentral:rRNA from 1 species
UCGGCGGGGGAUGCUUAGUACGGCGAGUGAAGCGGCAAAAGCUCAAAUUUGAAAUCUGGUACCUUCGGUGCCCGAGUUGUAAUUUGGAGAGGGCAACUUUGGGGCCGUUCCUUGUCUAUGUUCCUUGGAACAGGACGUCAUAGAGGGUGAGAAUCCCGUGUGGCGAGGAGUGCGGUUCUUUGUAAAGUGCCUUCGAAGAGUCGAGUUGUUUGGGAAUGCAGCUCUAAGUGGGUGGUAAAUUCCAUCUAAAGCUAAAUAUUGGCGAGAGACCGAUAGCGAACAAGUACAGUGAUGGAAAGAUGAAAAGAACUUUGAAAAGAGAGUGAAAAAGUACGUGAAAUUGUUGAAAGGGAAGGGCAUUUGAUCAGACAUGGUGUUUUGUGCCCUCUGCUCCUUGUGGGUAGGGGAAUCUCGCAUUUCACUGGGCCAGCAUCAGUUUUGGUGGCAGGAUAAAUCCAUAGGAAUGUAGCUUGCCUCGGUAAGUAUUAUAGCCUGUGGGAAUACUGCCAGCUGGGACUGAGGACUGCGACGUAAGUCAAGGAUGCUGGCAUAAUGGUUAUAUGCCGCCCGUCUUGAACCCACGGACCAA